AAGAAUUUAGUUUAAUUUAAAAAUAUUAGAUUGUAAAUCUAAAGUUGAUUAUUCUUG
rnacentral:tRNA from 1 species